GCGAAGGGCUGCACUUCUACCAGUUUGAGGGCAUCCACAGCGCCAAGGCCUUUAAACAGCUGUACAGGAGCAGGAUGAACGAGCUGGAGAUGGACCAGGAGACCAGGAGAGGAUCAUAGCCGACUCGAACCUGGCCUUCAAGUUCAACAUGGAGAGCUGGAGGAGGCAGGGAAGAGCAUCAAGGAGGUGGUGUUGGACGCAGGGGUCCCAGGACAUGGUCAUGGGGACAUGGACGGAGACAUUAACAAGUGCCCUUACUACGCUGCCAAAAUGGUGGCCAGUGGCAACACUAACUUUGCCUGUCAGUUGGCCAUGAUGCUGCUGAAACAUCCUGUUGGUCAGAUGGUUCUGGCCAGCUGGGCGGCUGCUGUCGCCGGAUUGGCUGCCUGGUACCUCAUGUGAUCUGUCACGGACUGAUUCAGCCAAUCAUAUGUUUAAAGGGCGGAAGACUCAACCAGGAAAGGGUGGACUUCUGGAGGAGGAUGGCCAAGCUUUGUCCAGACUAAUGAACUUGUUCCCUCCCUCAAUCCUUUUCCUUCUUUAUUUCUCUCACUCCCCUGGUUGCUGUGUUGAUACCAGCUGGUUGUUGUAGUAAUGAUGUUACUGUAACGUUGUGGGGUAUGAACCCGUCUUUAAUGAAUCUUUUCACUGCCAACAUGCAGAUGAUCUCCUUAGUAAUGUCCUCUUCAGUACUUAUCACCUGCACUAUUCUGCUUAUCAACACUGAAUAGUUACAUUGUUCAACUUUCAUUUAUGUGUAUUGAAACUAUACUGUAUUUUAGGCAUAUACAGUUGAAGUGGGAAGUUUACAUCCACUUAGGUUGGAGUCAUUAAAACUAGUUUUUCAGCCACUCAACACAUGUCUUGUUGUUUUGCCAGUCAGUUAGGACAUCUUCCUUCUGCA